UAGGUUAGAUAAUAUCUUUUAUUGGACCGACUUCCGUUGGUGAAAGAGAAACUCUUUUGAGCUUACGCAGAGUUCAUCUUCAGAAAUUAAGAGCAUCAAGCU